rnacentral:rRNA from 1 species
GACGAACCGUGCGAACGUUAUUCGGAAUCACUGGGCGUAAAGCGUGCGCAGGCGGUUUUGUAAGCCAGAUGUGAAAUCCCCGGGCUUAACCUGGGAAUGGCAUUUGGGACUGCAAGGCUUGAGUGCGGCAGAGGAGACUGGAAUUCCUGGUGUAGCAGUGAAAUGCGUAGAUAUCAGGAGGAACACCGAUGGCGAAGGCAGGUCUCUGGGCUGACACUGACGCUCAUGCACGAAAGCGUGGGGAGCAAACAGG